UUGUAGUUAAGUCUUUAGGUAGACUUGCUGUCUGCCAUACAGUCAACAGCUUUUAAUAAUGUGAAGCUUUUAAAUGGAUGGCUAUGGCAAUACUAUGGCUCUUGAGAAAGAGGUGUUCUAUCAUACACUACGGAAGAGCCAUAACCCAAUCACAUCAGACUACAAAAGAGAGAUGAUUUGAAACAUUAGGAAAUGCAGAAAUGCUCUCAGACUACAAAGGCAAUUUCAGUUACGGUGGAAUGGCAAAUGACCAACGGGGAACAUAAAAUGGGGGAGAGUCUCCGCCAGGAAUUUACGACCUGAGAUAACAGAACCUGGGUGUAGGAGAGAGUGAGAGAGAGGGGGAAGACACGGUCUACACCCAGAAAGGGCCAAGUCAUGACACUAUGCAUCUGUCUACUGAAGAGGAAACAGAGGAGAAAAUGAAAUGGGCAAGCAGGCAGACAGGCAGGCAUUGGUUCAGCAGAUCAGAGGCGCUGGGUGAGAGGAACAAGCAACAGGUUUUGAGUUCAUUUCGACGCCAUCUGCGGAUGCCAACGAUAGAAGAAACGGCUUGGUGGGUCAGACAGAGUUUGCAUCUGGGAGAGAAAGCUGGCGUUUGCUGUGGACUGGAAGCCGGGGAGGAACUGCUCUUUAAACACUGCCUAAGCCUGAAAGAAAACAUUAAUGAAAUGAGGAAGGGAAAGUUAUACCGGGACUGAUAAAUUAUUUCCUGAAUUAUGUCCGUUUUGAUAGGGAUUGAUUUCUACUUUAGGGAUGGAAGGAAAAAGGCAUCCUUUUGAUAGCCUGGUCCCAGAUCUGUUUGUGCUAUAAUGUCAACUUCUUGUCAUGCCAAACAUGUAAUGUUUGAUAUAAUGUCAUGUGUUGACCUUCAGAAGAAAAGAGAGAACAGCACAGGGAGUUUGAACCUGCUCAGAGUGUAAGAGAGACCGCAUAUUUGCUCGUAGCCUGAAUAUGAAAGGUGCAGGCCAAGGAGGUGUGGCUGUGGCACGGUACAGUAUACAGCACUACAGUCCCUCUCUGCUCUCAGACUGUUGGGCCAGAGCACUCAUUUCCUUAGAGAGAGAGAGAGAGAGAGAGAGAGAGAGAGAGAGAG